UUACAAAGCGGUGUUAGGGCACGAAGAAUUUUGAUUUCUUAGGAAAGGGUCAYACCCUUCUGGUA
rnacentral:tRNA from 1 species